rnacentral:rRNA from 1 species
CGGAGGUGAGUAAUGUCUGGGAAACUGCCCGAUGGAGGGGGAUAACUACUGGAAACGGUAGCUAAUACCGCAUAACGUCGCAAGACCAAAGAGGGGGACCUUCGGGCCUCUUGCCAUCGGAUGUGCCCAGAUGGGAUUAGCUAGUAGGUGGGGUAACGGCUCACCUAGGCGACGAUCCCUAGCUGGUCUGAGAGGAUGACCAGCCACACUGGAACUGAGACACGGUCCAG